AGUGAACGCUGGCGGUAGGCCUAGCACAUGCAAGUCGAACGGCAGCACAGUAAUAGCUUGCUCUUACGGGUGGCGAGUGGCGGACGGGUGAGGAAUACAUCGGAAUCUACUUUUUCGUGGGGGAGAACGUAGGGAAACUUACGCUAAUACCGCAUACGACCUACGGGUGAAAGCAUGGGAUCUUCGGACCUUGCGCGAUUGAAUGAGCCGAUGUCGGAUUAGCUAGUUGGCGGGGUAAAGGCCCACCAAGGCGACGAUCCGUAGCUGGUCUGAGAGGAUGAUCAGCCACACUGGAACUGAGACACGGUCCAGACUCCUACGGGAGGCAGCAGUGGGGAAUAUUGGACAAUGGGCGAAAGCCUGAUCCAGCCAUACCGCGUGGGUGAAGAAGGCCUUCGGGUUGUAAAGCCCUUUUGUUGGGAAAGAAAAGCAGCAGGUUAAUACCCCGCUGUUCUGACGGUACCUAAAGAAUAAGCACCGGCUAACUUCGUG
rnacentral:rRNA from 1 species